UUAAAGCUGCAUUGACUUGUCUUUAUUGCUUGAAACUGUAUUGCUGUUGCAAAUUGCUGAUUUAGUGAAAUGUGUCUAGGUAAACACUGUGUUUGCAACACAUUUGGGCCAUCUGAGAGCUAACAAAGACAUUUCCUGAUUCAUCAAACAGUUCACUAACUAAAUGCUUCUUGCAUUGGAUUAAGUCACUGAUGAUGAGCCACGCAGAAGCGGCUUUAUAUCCGGGGCGCCUCCCUGAAGCCUGAAGCUUCUAACAAUACAGGCCGGUUUGAACCGGGGCGGUUUCUGGGGAUUCAGACUGACAAUGUUGUUGAUCAACAUUUUGGGGAAAUCUUCAUGCCUGCAUCAUGGAUUUAAAACAAUGUAGAAAUCCUAACGAUGUGAAGAUGUUACUUCCAGAAGACUGUCUUUACAAGGACACAUUUCCACUUACACAAUGGGCGGAGGACAUUUGGAAGUGAAGCUACGAGCUAACGGCAUUUCGUCUUUAGUAUCUCUUUUAUAACGCAGCAUCUUCUUCUUUUUUCAUCUGACGCGUAUCAGUGAUAAUUUCUCUAUAACAGCGGUUGCUGCUUACCUUC